rnacentral:lncRNA from 1 species
AGUUUUUGGUAAAUAAAAUUUAAUACAACUGUAGUCAAGUAAUAAUGGUUAAAAGACUUUUUUUUUAUUAGAUACAACUUUUUAAAAAUUAAAGAAAAACUAUGCACAAAGUAUAUUUUAGACGAGACAUGAAAGUAUUAGUGUGCCGCAACUGAUGAAAACAAAGAAACAAGGAGCAUUUUUUUUUUAACUGUGAAGACUGGAGCAUCUGAAAGCAAAUGACAUCUGGCUGCCACAGGUCUGUACAUGUUGUAAAGCACAGUACGCUUUUGUUCAACUCUAUAAUUGUGUUGUCUUAGAUUAGCUCCAGAGACUUUCAACAAGAUUUAAAUAAAGAAACCAUGGAGUGGGUAUUGGGGGAGGAAAGAUUAAGAACUUUUUCAAAAAAGAUAAAUGAAAGAGUCUGUAGAGGAAAAAACAAAAAAACAGUACCUAAGAAUGGAACAAGAGUAAGUAGAUUUACUUUUUUGACACUGGAUAUAGAUAUUGAUGAUGUUUACAAGGAUUUUUUCUUAAAAUCUUAAAAAGCAGCUUGGCAUCAAACAAAAAACCUUCCCAAAUAUAGUAAAACUCCAAACACCAAACCACUUUCUUAACAUUUUCCUUC